CCUACGGGUGGUAGCAGUGGGGAAUAUUGCACAAUGGGGGAAACCCUGAUGCAGCGACGCCGCGUGAGUGAAGAAGUAUUUCGGUAUGUACAGCUCUAUCAGCAGGGAAGACAAUGACGGUACCUGACUAAGAAGCCCCGGCUAACGACGUGCCAGCAGCCGCGGUCAUACGUAGGCGGCAAGCGUUAUCCGGAUUUACUGGGUGUGACGGGAGCGUAGACGGAAGAGCAAGUCUGCCGUGAACGCCCGCGGCCCAACUGCGGGACUGCUUUGGAAACUGCCCGGCUAGAGUGCUGGAGAGGUAAGCGGAAUUCCUAGUGUAGCGGUGAAAUGCGUAGAUAGUAGGAGGAACACCAGUGGCGAAGGCGGCUUACUGGACAGUAACUGACGUUGAGGCUCGAAAGCGUGGGGAGCAAACAGGAUUAGAUACCCCGGUAGUC
rnacentral:rRNA from 1 species